rnacentral:rRNA from 1 species
AUGGUAGUUAUUAAGGUGAUAAAUUAUUAUUAGAAUUCAAGUGUUGUUUAAUAGAGAAUGAAAUAUUUUUUUAGAAUGAGUUAACAAGGUAGUUUUUAACGAGAUGUUUGGUGUGUUACCUAUAGAGGAAGUACUGUUGAGGAAAAGUGAAAUAUUAAGUAAUGAUGAUUAUUGGGGUAGGAAUGGAGAAGUCGUUUACCUUUUGUAUUAUGGUUGACCAAAGUAAAUAAAGUGAUUUUGUUUUUAAUAACGAAACAGGGCGAGCGAUUAUUUUCUUUAGCUUGGCUAUGUUCUCUAAUUGUAGAAAAAAUAUGGGAGGAGGAAAUAAUAGAGGUGAAAAACUAAACGAGUCUUGUGAUAGCUUUAUUUCGGGUAAAUGGAUUUUAGUCUUACUUAGUAGGAACUAAGGGAAAGACCAUUGUCUGAUCAAUGGUCUUUUGGAGAAAAUAAUCUUUUUUUCUAGGGAAGGGCAUUAAGUAGAAUUAUUUUGAAUUUUGUAAUAGGUUAUUGAGCAACUUUUUUUGUUAAAGCGUUUGAGCUAAUGAGUAAUGGAUGGUGUAAUAUUUGUUGAGAUUUCUGUUCCUGUUGAUGUUUUUACCUGAAUACUUUUUUUUAAAAGGAAAUAAUGGUUAAAUUAGUAAAUUGAUUACUCGGAUGGAUUAAUAUUUUAGUUAAUUAAGUUUUAUUGUUUUUUAUUGUGUUUUUGUCUUCUUAUUUUAGAGAGUAGUUUUAUGAGUAUAAAAAUAUAAGAAAAGGAAUUCGGCAAACAUUUCUUACGCCUGUUUACCUAAAACAUCGCCCCUGGAAUGGGAUCAAGGGGUCUGACCUGCCCGGUGACUAUUUGGUAGUUAAACGGCUGCAGUACUCUGACUGUGCAAAGGUAGCAUAAUCAUUAGCCUGUUAAUUCCAGGCUGGAAUCAACGGUUGGACGAUAGGAAAGCUGUCUUUUUUUAUUGGUUUUAAUUUCGUGUUAAAGUGAAGAAACUUUAAUUUGUUAGUGGGACGAGAAGACCCUAUAGAGCUUUAAUCUUCUUGUUGAUUAUAACUGUUGGCUGGAAGUUUUUAGUUGGGGCAACUAUUUUUAGAAUUAGACAUGAAAUAGAAAAGUAUAAGUUUAUUUUCUCUUUUGGGUGACCCAAAGUUUUUUUGGAAAUUAGAAAAAGUUACCUUAGGGAUAACAGCGUAAUUUCUUUUGAGAGUACACAUUGACAAAGGAGUUUGCGACCUCGAUGUUGGAUUAAGUUUUCCUGGAAGUGCAGCAGUUUCCGAGGGUUGGUUUGUUCAACCAUAAAAAUCUUACGUGAUCUGAGUUCAGUCCGUCGUGAGACAGGACAGUUUCUAUCUACUGGUUUGGCCUCUUUUUUGUACGAAAGGACUCUUUGAGGGAAAGUUAGAAUUUUAGUUUUCUUUCUUGAAAAUUUUUGAUUAAGAAUAGAAA